UUGGCGGGGUCCUUACUUAAUUAACGACGAAGCUACAUUUUAGUCGGGGAAAAUAAGUUAACAAGGAUGUAAAACGAAUGGCUAAGAUCACUUGAAGAACCAACGAAUAGAGAUCAAUACCUCACCAAUAAAAUAUUAGGGUAAGUGAAGAGAAAAAGAAAAGAUGAAGGGUUGAGUCCUGCUGCGUCGCCAUUCCGCCGUCGCUCCUCCUCACGUUCGCCGGCAACUGGAGCACCUCCUUCUCCUCCGCCAUCGCCAUCGUGACUGCUACGAUCACCACUGUCGCCGCUACCAUCUCCGUCGCUACCCUCUUUUCACGCCGUCGCCUCCCCCUCUUCUACCGAUCUUCACAGAUCCACCACCACCGCCGCGAGAUCCAAAGGCUUCAUCGCUGAGAAGAGACUCCAUUGAUGCUCCAUAUCAUGUUGGGGUGAAUACUAUACUGGGAUCUGCAACGCCGUCUCUAUCAGUAAAACUCAAGCAAGCUUUCAGUUUUGGUUCAAAGGAUGCUUUUAUAAUUAAGAGCCAGGAGCUGCGCGUGACUCUUUUGUUUUUUAUCAGAUGCUCAUGACCAUAAUUUGCCUAACUUGUAUCCAAAUGAUCUUGUCAAUUGCCUUGAUGCAAGAACUCAAGUUUGAUCAAGAAAAUGAUGUCCAUUUCUUGGAUGCAUGGUCAAAGAGUGUUAACGUAGGCAAUUUUGUUUUUGUAUUUGAGGCUAGAUUUAGCUAGAGAGACUGCUCUUUCGUUAUCAGCAAACCAUCUACAGAAGCUGCGUUUAUCAUUUCAAUUGACCACUCCACUUGGGCAUCCAUCUGAACCACUUCAACCUUUUCUCAAGUUGAAAAAUGAGACCAAAGUUGAGCACAUCUUUGUCUUGGGGAGCUAUGGUGAACAGUUUGACAUAACACUAAUGGCUUUGUUGCAUAGACUUAUGGAUAAUCCAUAUUGGUGUAUGGAGAAGAAUUUUCACUUUUGUGUAGAACUAAUAUAAAACUUUUGUCGUCCUCAACUUUUGUGUAGUUCAUUAUUACUAAUACAGAAAACUUUUGGCAAUCAACAGAUAAUGACUGUCAUGGUACAUAGAUCACCUUCUGUCGUGGUACAUAUAUACCAUUUGUCGGCGUACAUAUAGGACAUUUUGUCAUAGUCUAUAGAAAACUUUUGUCGUGGUACAUAUAUCACCUUUUGUUGUCGUAUAGAUUACGAUGGUAAUUUGUACCAUGCCAAAUGAUAAUUUCGCUUGGUAGUAAAUGUAUUUUUUGUAUACGGAGGGCUUUGA